rnacentral:rRNA from 1 species
AGUGAACGCUGGCGGUAGGCCUAACACAUGCAAGUCGAACGGCAGCACAGUAAGAGCUUGCUCUUACGGGUGGCGAGUGGCGGACGGGUGAGGAAUACAUCGGAAUCUACUUUUUCGUGGGGGAUAACGUAGGGAAACUUACGCUAAUACCGCAUACGACCUACGGGUGAAAGCAGGGGAUCUUCGGACCUUGCGCGAUUGAAUGAGCCGAUGUCGGAUUAGCUAGUUGGCGGGUAAAGGCCCACCAAGGCGACGAUCCGUAGCUGGUCUGAGAGGAUGAUCAGCCUCACUGGAACUGAGACACGGUCCAGACUCCUACGGGAGGCAGCAGUGGGGAAUAUUGGACAAUGGGCGCAAGCCUGAUCCAGCCAUACCGCGUGAGUGAAGAAGGCCUUCGGGUUGUAAAGCCCUUUUGUUGGGAAAGAAAAGCAGCAGGUUAAUACCCCGCUGUUCUGACGGUACCCAAAGAAUAAGCACCGGCUAACUUCGUG